ensembl:lncRNA
GCCGGCAGGGCUGGUGCCGAGCUGCUGCAGUUCCCUCUCCCGGGGGAAGGCUCGCUCCGGGUUUUUGGGUGAUCCCGACCAGGCUUUGCAGCUCGCCAGCCUGACCUGUCAAGCGGAUUAUUUUAGAGGGAGAUUAAUAGGGGAGGCGGGCUGCAAUAAUAAUCGUUUUGUUUGAUGUGACAACUUUGAUAGGCGUUGAUUUACUUACAAACUGAUAGGCUUUUAAUUGAGCGCCUCCAUCCAGCUUGAGAUGAAAGGAAAACCGCAUUGAAAAGCUGCCCGAGUGCCCUCGAGCCUCAAUACUGAUUAGCCAUCUCGACAGUGAAUAGUUCAAGGCAUUUUCAAACUUUUUUUCCUCUCUCGGUCUCGCUCUCCUCUCCUCCUCAAAUAUCUGCCAGCCCACUCCUUUUUAAGAGAAAAUAAAUCAUUUCCAUUGUGUGCAAAUAAAAUCGACUUGACAUGCUUGCCAAUAGCUGGUAGGUAAAGGAAAGUGUGGACUGGCACUUGUUAAUUAAUUCCUCCUUUGCUCUCCUUUUUUUUUCUUUUUUUAAGUUACAAUUUUCCUUUUUAAGAGCAGGAAGACGGGUUUCAACCCCCAGGUUUUGUUGUUGGGUUUUUUGUUGUUGUUGUUGUUAUUUUUUAUUAUUAUUAUUUUUAAAGAAGAAUAAAAGCUACAGCCACCCAAACUUCAACAAGACUACACAAGUAAGCACCCAACAGCAACCCGGCUGCGCGGAUUCAUUAAACGAGGAUCCCUCGCAAGAGUUUUACUGCACUCCAUUUAUCAAUUGGACUUGACAACAAAAGAAAGAACGGGGGGAAAACCUGGGGCAGAUUCAAGUCACUUCCACUCUGUAUGAAGGAAGGGGGAGUUCCUUACGGGCACGGUGCGGGUUGUCAGUCCCGCUGCAGCGGCGGCAGCUUUUGUGCGAUGCUUCUCCCUCUGCCCCCCGAUCCUUUCACUGUCACGGCCUCGGAAGAACACAGCGGGCACGGCGACACGGAAGCCCGGCUCUGCCCUGCACCGACACGUUCCGGCGACACGUUCCGCGCUUCCAGAGAACACACAGAAAUUAAAAAAGUUUGUUAAAAUCGUCUUUCUAGGAGGCGAGGGCACUUCCGCGUAUCGCCCCGUUCUAUCCAACGUGCCAAAGAGCGCGGCGGUUCAAUAAAAGCCACCCGAGAUACCGACCCGGCUGCGGGACCAACGGAGCACCGCUCUGGGGGCGGGGAGGGCGUCGGAGAAAGGAGAAGGUGAAGGCGAAGGACGGGGUUCGGCGGGGCCGAGAGCGAGCGGGGAAAGUCCUUCCCCACGCCCACCCCUCCCCGAGCGGCGCCUGUUCUGGUCGGAGUCCAGGUCAGGAAUUGGCCGCGACCCCUGAAGCACUUGCCUUGUUCUUCACUUGUCAAACGUGUUUUAUCUCUAAGUGACCUUUUUGUUAAUGUUGUAGAUUGUGUGGGCCACCAUGUCAGAUCCGGAAACAAAAGUAAAAGAUUGAUUAACACGUUUUGCCUGUGGAAAAAAAAAAAAUUGUUACGGGAUGAGGAGGUGGGGAAGAGCGGGACGGGAAGUACAAAGGGGAGAGCGGCGGGCGGCGCGGGGAGCGGCAGAAGGGCCGCGGGCAGCGCUCACGCUGCGCCCCCGGAGCGGCGCAGGCG